AUGAGGUCCACUCCAUCACACACCAUGAGCCGAACAUUGGAGCAUCUAGUUCUGCUGCUACUAAUAGCUGUCUGCUAUGUCCACAUGGAGCAGCUCAACCAGCCAGUUUCUCUGAAUAUCCAGCCUGGUCAAAGCUUGACCAUCAACUGUAAAGUCUCCUAUUCAGUUACUAGCUAUGGCACAGCUUGGAUUCGACAGCCAUCAGGAAAAGCUCUGGAGUGGAUCAAUAUUAUCUGGGGUGGUGGUAGCACAGCACAUAAAGACUCCCUGAAGAACAAGUUCAGCGUCUCCAGAGACACCUCCAGUAACACAAUCACCCUGCGAGGGCAAAACAUGCAGCCUGGAGACACAGCUGUGUAUUACUGUGCUCGACACCCACAAUGUUAA